rnacentral:misc_RNA from 2 species
AGCAGCCGCGGUAAUUCCAGCUCCAAUAGCGUAUAUUAAAGUUGUUGCAGUUAAAAGCUCGUAGUUGAAUUUCGGGAUCAGUAUGUUGGUCGUGCUUCGGUACGUACUGUCAUUACUGGUUUCUACCUUCUGAAGAACCUUGAUGUCAUUAAUUUGGUGUCUUGGGGAAUCAGGACUGUUACUUUGAAAAAAUUAGAGUGUUUAAAGCAAGCAUACGCUUGAAUACAUUAGCAUGGAAUAAUGAAAUAGGACGUUUGAUUCUAUUUUGUUGGUUUCUAGGAUCGACGUAAUGAUUAAUAGGGAUAGUUGGGGGCAUUAGUAUUCAAUUGUCAGAGGUGAAAUUCUUGGAUUUAUUGAAGACUAACUACUGCGAAAGCAUUUGCCAAGGAUGUUUUCAUUAAUCAAGAACGAAAGUUAGGGGAUCGAAGACGAUCAGAUACCGUCGUAGUCUUAACCAUAAACUAUGCCGACUAGGGAUCGGAUGAUGUUAUUUUUAAUGACUCAUUCGGCGCCUUACGGG